ensembl:lncRNA
GGGAACAAAAACCAGGCAGCGGGAGACGAAAGAGCAGAAACAAGACGCCGAAGCCAAGCCAACCCUGACACGAGACGCCGCUGGUGCCUUCUAGAUCAGGAGAACAGAAGGGAAGAGGGAUUGGAAACAGAGCACGAGGACAGAUCGGAGGGAGAGAGGAGGAGUACUUCAAACAUGGUGGGCGGAUUGGAGAUGAAGGACAGAAGUGGGGAGAGAGAAGUUGAGGAAAGGAGACACACAAGAGAGACAAGAAGGCUGAAGAAGACCUCCAUUUAAGUUCAUUCAUCCAGUGAGCGCGGGCUCUUCUGAAGGGGUUUCCAGCACCGCAUAACAGAAAGGACAGGAUUAUAUUGUUGUGCAUCUAGGCCGGUGUGAUUGGAUGAUAAAUACUGCAUCAAACAACGCUGACAGAGAUAAGUGUCUUUGGCUAUUGUCCCUGAAUGUCUUCUGGAAGAAUGCAUGCUAAAGUCUAAACCAUCUGGUGGUGGGUGAGAAGCAUCAAUAAUAGAGAUUAAAUGGAGCAUCUCAAUAUAGCCUCUCAUGAGCACCGUCAGUGCACGCAUGCCUUUUUUGUUGUUGUUGUUUUUUUGUUCUGUUUUUGUUUUUGCCAGCUUCCGAAAUUCUCACUUUUCGGCAAGUGCAAUUCUGCAUAACAUCAUGCUUUCACGUCAGAUUUGCAGAAACCGCUCUAUUAAAAGUAUAAUCUUUUUCUUCCCGAAAAAGAAAUGUUGUGGACGCAAGGAGUUGGACCUUGACGCGAUCUCCCGUUGGCGUCUUCGCCGGAGAAAUCUGAUAUGUGCCGCAUACGGUGUGAGCCACGGAGGUACGGGGGGAACCAUUGC